rnacentral:lncRNA from 1 species
GUAUUUAAAAUACAAAGCAUGUAGAAUUAUAUUUCUUCUUUGCAGUAGAGAUAUUUUUUUCCAUACAUACUGUUACUAAAUGGUGAUCAACUUAGAAGAAAGGAUUCUCAAAAAUGUAUGGCCCUAAGCUUCGCAUCCUCGCACACCUAGCAUCACAGGUAUAGGAUGUAAUUUAGAUGCUCUGCUUCUACAGUUACACAAAAUUCCCAGAGCAUCAGCUAUUAAGAUGCACGUGCUGUGCAGUUCAGGUAGGAGGACAGUACUUGACAGAUGGUUUAGCAGGGAGUCGUCAAGAACAGCAGAGGAGCCUGCCCUUGCAUGGCAGUCUCAGAUGCACCUAGGUCAGAGGCCUCGAGCUGCCACUGCACUGUGUGACUGUGUCAGAGGCCUGCUGUUUAUAAAUGAGCUUUCAUUUUCAUAAUUAAAGCUGACACAAAAAUUAAGAGGAGCACGGGAGCAUAUAAAAAUCCUGAUUAGAAAAGCCAGAGGAUCUAAAGAGAAUUUUUCUUUUUCUUUUUUUAAAGAUAGAUCAUACAUUGUAACCCAGACUAGCCUGACCUUCAUACUCAGCUUCCUAAAUGCCAGGAAUACAGGCAUGCACCACCAUGCCUAGCUAAAGUUAAAUGUUUAAGUCUUUGAGAUUGAGUUAGUGUGGCUCCUGUGACACGAGGAUAGCGCCCACUUCAGCAUAAUUAUUGCCCCUGAUGCCCCAAUGUGCAAUAGUCUGUGUGAAUUAGUCAUUCACACCCAUUAAAAAGUUAUUGCUUAAGCAAGCCAUUCAGAGUAGAUACAGGCUGUGUGGCUGGACAGAAACACACUGAGAAAGACAACCACGCUGGGAUGCUCUUCCACUCACUGAUAAACAUAAAUACAUAAUCAAAGGGGCAAGAGGAUCAUAGCAGCUAAUACCCAAAGCCAACUCUUAAGUGUCAAGACUUAAUUUCUCUCUAAAACAAAUCUGGUUUGUCUUUUCCUCUUAAAAUUAAGGCAAUGAAAUGGCUACAGUUCCUAAAGUCAUCUUUACGGAACGAAAAUAUACACGUAUUUUCCUCAAGUUCAGGCAUCACAGUCUGAUUAGAAACCUGAAAUAAUUACACAAAACCUGCAACAGUGAGGCUGAAAGGGAAGGAAAGGGAGGAAGUGGGGAGAGGGAGGACUAUGAAACCAACAAACACUUGUAAGGAUCUUCUUCCUGCGUAAUUAUAAUCACCGAAGGGGGGAAAUGUUGGAAAGCACAAAACCUGUUACAUGGUUUCAGCAUCUCUUGUAUUGAAUUAAAACUUUUAGGGUAAUGAAAGGAAGGAGCUUAUUAAAAUGGUUACUCUAGAGUCCAACAACCAAAUAUGCUAAUGAUGCACAGUAGGGCCCAAGAAUCCCUCCUACAAUCAGCUCCUCAGAUGACGAGGGAUCCAUGGACAUUUUGAAAACUAAUGCCGAGAACAUACCAACUUUGGAUAGCCACCUAUGCUUUGACAAAAGGGGAAAAGGCACUGAAUAUGAAUUUCAUGGUGCCCAUAUCUGUUUGCACAUAUAUGGAAUUGCAUUUUGAAAAAUAUAAAUCACCAUUCAGAAUCUAGAAGACAAGUAUACGGCAGAUGAUGGCUAACACCUAAUGACGAAGCUGAUUUCAAGUUGACCUCUCCUGUUUCACGGAACUCCACAUCAAAGUCUCAGGCUUUCCAAAUCCAAAAUGGUCAAACGAACUGAGGAACAGGACAAGACUCAAGUCAACUUUCAGCAAUUCAGUGCACUUUGCAGAAAGGAUCUAAGUUAAGCUUAUAGCUCUGUUUGUUUAUUUUACACAAAGGAGACCACCAACAUUUGCCAUAAAUUCUUCUAAACUCUUUAGGAAGGCCAUCUUCUGCUUCCGGUCCAGGGCAGGAGGAGUGCUGCUCGCUGUGAGCUUGUUGAAGGCAUCUGCUAAUCUCUGGUAAAUGACUGGGUCUUGUUGACUUGACAGUAAUGUCUCAACCAGUUCAGAAUAUUCAGCCUGCAGAAGAAACAAGGCAGCCAUAACAAUGUUUUCUUUGGCGGAUCCUAGCAGGAAUGUGGGGUUGGUGCUGAGGCAGGGCAGACAAAAACUCUUUCCAACAGUUCAGUGUUUAGGUCUUGUUCUCACCUUAUCUAUGCGCUAAUUAAUUUAAUAUGUAUGCUACUAUGAGAUUGACACUAUUAAUAUUCCCAUUUUACAGAUAAAGACUCUACCAGAUUGAGUAAUAUACUGAAAAAUCACAUGAGUACAGACAUUCUGGCUCCAGACCCACAUGGUCCCAGCUUUGCGGCCUUGCGUCAUAUACAUUUGUUCAUAACUCCUGUGCUUGGAAUGUUAAGGUGAACAGUUCUCUAGUGGCAAAUACACUGUUCUCCCAGUUCUGAGGGCAGCAGAAGCGUGGAGAAGGGUUGAGAGCUCUCUCAAAGUAGAGGCAGAACACUUUGAAAAUCCCAAGCCAGCAAUGUAGCAGUGGCUUUGGAUAAUGCAGUGGUGGCAUCUUCUAUUUUUAUUAACCACUCUCAUAACACUAGUAAACAGGUGAGUGUGCAGAGGCUUAAGGGAAAGUGACCUAGAACAGAGAAGCACUAUGGAAAAAGCUAGUCUGCCAUUAAAUUUUCAUGAGCUUCUCAGAACAUCACAACAUCCAAAUGAGAAAAUCAGAUAUAAUAUAGAGCAAAGAGAGGUAGGGUAUAGUUUCCCAAUCCCCAUCCCACUGUCUACAACACAGAGCCAGAGGGGCUGCCUGAACCACCCUGUGCAAAGGACAGGCCUGCUCGGAAGGCCAGCAUAAGCUUAGAUAACCUUCUGACUGUUACGAAACAGUACUGCUUCUGGGCCAGGCAGCAGGAAUCACACUAGCUGUUCUAAAGUGCCCACUCUCUUUUUUCUGUCUUUCAAAAAAACAAAACAAAACAAACAAACAGCUGGGUGGUGGCGCACGCCUUUAAUCCCAGCACUUGGGAGGCAGAGGCAGGCAGAUUUCUGAGUUCGAGGCCAGCCUGGUCUACAAAGUGAGUUCCAGGACAGCCAGAGCUACACAGAGAAACCCUGUCUCAAAAAACCAAAACCAAACAAACAAACAACCCCCCCCAAACAAACAAACCAAACCAAAACCCUCAAACCAUUUUUGACAUUUACUUAUGGGUAUGUGUUAUAGGUGUUUGGAGUUGGUCCUUGUGUGUGUGUGUGUGUGCAAAAAAAACCUUGCAUAGUUGGCACCUUCCCUCCACCAUGGACACAGGACUAAGGAUUGAACUCAAGUCAUCAGGCUUGGUGACAGUACCUAAAGCAUCCUUUGAGCCACCCUCUCAGGCCCAUGGUGCCUUAGUAACCAAAUGGACAGAAAAGGAAAAGGAACACACAGCUGAAAGGAGGAAUACUCAUAAGUAGUUGCCGCAAGAGCACAGCACGCACUUCCGGCCUGGGGGACCUGUUACAUUAGUCCCAUAGCAAUGAUGUUUUAGGAUCUUUAAGGUUCAACAACAACAACAACAACAACAACAACAAAAUAAUAACACUGUCUAGGAGAAGGGGGCUUUGUGAGUUAGGAUCUGAAAACCCUACUUUGAGGAGAGCAAAGCUUCUCCAACCUAUCACUUGGGCAUACUAAGGUAUGAGGGGAAAAUUAAGCCACACACUUCCCCAAUUUGUUCUUUUAUAUACUUGAUAGGCAGUUUUUCAGAAUUAGGAGGCUAGUGUGCUUCUGUUACAUUAAUCCCAUAGCAAUGAUGUUUUAGGAUCUUUAAGGUUCAACAACAACAAAACCACAUUGUUUCCAAAUCACUAAAUAAAAUAAUACUCUGAUCUUUACAUUCUAUGAAGGCAAAUCUGCUCCCAAUCUGAUUCACCUGCCACUCUAUGAAAUCUGAAUUCCUCAAAGAUACCACUCACUCUCUCGUGUACACACACGGGGCUCCUAGCAUAAGUGAUUAAAGCCAAGCUUUUGAGUGAGAACGGCAUCAGAGAAUGGCUCCUAACAGAGACGGGAUCUUUUGAUCUGACAAACAGAUUGCCUAUAAAUAUAAAACAUAAGCCUAGAGCACAUGAGGAAGCUAAGAAACGUCCCUGGGGUCAUGGGCUUAGGUGUCCCUGAAUCCACAAGUGCUGGUGUGCAAAGGGGGUGCAAUACCUGGUGCAAACACACCAAUGUGUAGAAUGCUUCGCCUGCUGCAGUGGUCAUCUCCGUGUUGUGCUUUUGCAAGACCAGCAUAUCAAAAACCAGCUGAAAGUACAUAAUGAGAUACAUCCAUAAAAUACAGAAUAAUAAUUUAUUUUUAAAGACAUUUUAUUUAUAUGAGUACACUGUAGCUGUCUUCAGACGCACCAGAAGAGGGCAUCAGACCUCAUUACAGAUGGUUGUGAGUCACCAUGUGAUUGCUGGGAAUUGAACUCAGGACCUCUGGAAGAGCAGUCAAUGCUCUUAACCACUGAGCUAUCUCUUCAGCCCCAGAGUAAUUAUUUAAAUCUCUAGUCCCUUUCUGGUCUGAAACAAGGAUCGGGGUUAUAGUCGAUUUCUUACAUUAACACAUCAAUUAUUAAAUCAUUUUUUUAAUCCAUGAAAAACACACAGAUGUUAUUUUCUGUGUAAUCUAAAUUAAAAAUAUCAAAUUCCUCGUAAUAUUUAUAGCAUCAUUCAAGGAUACAAAAUGGGCUAGGCAGUAGUGGGGCACAACUUUAAUCCUAGCACUCAGGAGGCAAGUGGAAGUCUAUGAGUUCAAGGCCAGACUGGUCUAUAGAGUUCUAGGAUAGUCAGGGCUACAGAGAAACCCUGCCUUAAAACAAAACAAAACAAACAAACAAAAAGCCAAAACAGAAGUGGAAGAGAACAGGGGAUUGGUCUGCACACACCUUUAAUCUCAGCACUUAGGAGGCAGAGGGAAGCAAAUCUGAGUUAAGAGGCCAGCAUGGUCCACAAAGCAAGUCCCAUAACAGGCAAAGAUGCACCGAGAAACCCUGCCUCAAAAAGCCACACACAACUACAAAAAACAGUGAAUAAAGUAUUUUCUCUUCUCUAACAGAAUGCAAGUACAUUUUCAUUUGACUCAAGAGUUUCAUGGGUUUGGCAAGAUAGCUCAGGGGCUAAAAGCACUGGCUGCCCUUCC